rnacentral:rRNA from 1 species
UACGUAGGGUGCGAGCGUUAAUCGGAAUUACUGGGCGUAAAGCGUGCGCAGGCGGUUUGUUAAGACAGGCGUGAAAUCCCCGGGCUCAACCUGGGAAUGGCGCUUGUGACUGGCAAGCUAGAGUAUGGCAGAGGGGGGUAGAAUUCCACGUGUAGCAGUGAAAUGCGUAGAGAUGUGGAGGAAUACCGAUGGCGAAGGCAGCCCCCUGGGCCAAUACUGACGCUCAUGCACGAAAGCGUGGGGAGCAAACAGG